ensembl:snRNA
AUGUUGUAUGACAGGAGGGAAUGUUAGAUCUCCCCUUGAAAAGGACGGAAGAAGCCCUUGGGCCCAUACAGCACAUGUGUGGUUAAGAUAUCACUAUGUACUUUGUGGCAUCUAACCAUGGGUUUUC